UGUAAAUUCGCACAGAGAUCUGAGCAACACACAACACUUGCAGUGAGAUAAAGCAACACAGAUCAAGCAAAUGAUUUUUAACCCAGAACAUAAACAAAUCUGAGAUCUCAGAAGAAAAAUACUAACUUGGAGAUAGGCAACAGGGGAGAUAGCAGCAGUAGCAGCAGGGGAGCAAGAAGAAGAAAGGGAGGUGCGAGCAAAUGAGAGCAAGAAGAAGAAAGGGGGUGUAGGUUUUUGUGUGAGAUGCGACAGAAUUAUAGGGAUAGACUUAUGGAGAAUAGGAUUAUAGGGGUACAGUAGAAAUUAAAAUAAAAUAGAGAGAUGCAGGACGAGACCUUGGAGGUGGAGGGAGAAAGACUCACAACUAAUUCACGUCUAAUAUCAUGUAUAAAUUUAUUCUCUCUCACUUUUUUUUUAUUAUUCCAAAUUUGUACAAAAGCUCCUCAUUUCUUCAAUGUUCACACUUUAGCCUCUAUGAAAC
rnacentral:lncRNA from 1 species